ensembl:lncRNA
GAGUAGACUCCGGGAGUUGGUGAUGGACAGGGAGGCCUGGCGUGCUGCAGUCCAUGGGGUCACAAAGAGCUGGACAUGGCUGAGUGGCUGAACUGAACUGAACUGAAGGAGUAAUGUAUACAGAAAUAGAAAUAGAAUGUAUACAUGAAUCUUAUAUACUGUUAUAAACCAAUGUUACCUCAAUAAUAAAUUAAAAUGAAAAAAAGAAGCAGGUGGACUAGAAGGACAUCAGUUCAGUUACUGGAGGUUUAUUUCAUACCAGGCAUGAUUGUAAGCAGUUCUAGGUGCUAACGGAUUUAGUCCUUGUAACAAUCUGAAGAGGAGGCAAUAUUGUUGGGAGACAUGGCUCCCUGGGAAGAUAGGGAUUGUUUCUUCCCCAGAGCAGAGGCAGGUUUGUUUACUUUAUUUUUCUAUUAUAAUAAAGGAUAAUGUCCCCUGCCAGACCAAAGUUUUGGCAGAUUUGCUCACAGCCAUUUCAAGAGUUAGGAUUCUUCAGCUCAGGGUUUUCAGCUGUGAUGCAAAUGCCCCACGUGUGCAGCAUCUACCUGGCUUUGCAUCGCCUCACCCUGGGGAUCUUGCAGGAUAAGGGGAACCAAUUCAAACAUGAAGUUCAUGUCAUCUGCUGUGCUGGGAAUGAUAGCACCCUUUUCCUCUGACCUGAGAGUCUUGUGUCUUCUGCCAGCAUCCAUGGAAGAGAGGCAAGCUGGCUGGUGAGUAGGGUAAAUUCCCAGACUGUUCGGAGUUCUUAACAAAAUUCUCUUCUUCUGGAGGAAGAGAAACAGACACAGAGAACUCAAGUACUUUAUCCAAAGUCACAAAGCUGGUUUGCGAGCUCAAACAUGAACCAUGUAGACCAGCUCCAGAGCCUGAGGCUUCACCUACUGCGACGAGACUGAAAGAGCUACAUCCACGGGAGUUUGUCAGCCAUGCUAAAGGUUAAAUACAUCGUAAGAUCAAGAAGCAGUCAAUUAAUUUGGAUGGGCUGGCUACUGUAACAGGCAGACGUCAAUAUGCAUUUUGGCUCAAACUCAACAGAAAAUGAUUCCUUGCUCAUGUGAUAGUUUGAAGCAGAAGAAUCUGGUCAGUGGGCAGCUGUGUUCCACAUGGUAUUUCAGGAACUCAAUUCCUUCCAUCUUGUGGCUCCCUAGGGUCUUAUCUGUUUCCAGCCAGAAGAGAUGAGAAGAAAGGAUGAUCUGCACACUCUCACGGAGACACACUCCAGACCCAGAAUCACCUUCUCUCCACAGUCCCAUGG